ACCCAACUGACGAGUCCCAACUAGGAAGAAACGCGCGUCUUGGAU
rnacentral:hammerhead_ribozyme from 1 species